rnacentral:lncRNA from 1 species
GGGGCAGCCAGGUUUUCCAGUCUCAGUGUGUCCCUUCUUUAGAAGGGGAGUCUUCCAUCUCCAACUGUACACUGGGGCCGCGUGUGGUUCUGCAGUUCUGUGAGGAGACCCAGAGUCAUACGCACUGUGGUUCAUACCCCAGAGCUGCCAUUUGCUAAUGGUGUGACCUUCUGUAACCCCUUUGUGCCUCAGGUCUCUCAUCUGGGAAGUGGGAUGAUAGCGCCAACCUAGCUGGAUUGCUGUGACUGCCAGCACAAUGCCUUCUAAGGGUUCAAGUAUCUCUUAUGCCAGGUGCUGAGGAUGCCUUGCGGACAGUUACCGGUUGAAUUAUAUACCCCGAAAGGAAAUGUUGAAGUCCUUACUCCCAGCACCGCAGAAUAUGACCUUAUUUGGAAAUAGGGUCAUUGCAGAUGUAAUCAAAUUAAGGCAAGGUUCUGCUGAAGUAGGGUGGCCCUUAAUCCAAUAUGACUGAUGUCCUUCUGAAAAGAGGGAAGACAGCCCUGUGAAGGCACAGACACACCAGGAGAAUGCCAAGUGGUGACAGAGGCCGAGAUGAGAGUGAUGCAUCCACAAGCCGAGGAACACCGAGCCAACUACUAGAAUGUAGGGAGAAGCAAAGGAGGGUUCUCCCCUGCAGGUUUUGGUGGAAGCACGGCCCUGCUGAUGCCUGAUUUCAGAUAUGUGACCUCCAGGACUGGGAAACAAUCAAGCUUUGUUGUUUCAAGGCACUCAGUUUGUGAUAUGUUGUGAUGGCAGCCCUGGGACACUGAGCUAUAGUGAGUGACCCUGUUCUAGACCUGCAGGGGCUUACAAGGGAGCAAGGGGGAGAUGGAGACGUGCAAACAGGUUAACAAAUGCUUAUGGCCGGGCACGGUGGCUCACACCUGUAAUCCUAGCACUUUGGGAGGCUGAGGUGAGUGAAUCACCUGAAGUCAGGAGUUCAAGACCAGCCUGACCAACAUGGUGAAACCCUGUCUCUACUAAAAAUACAAAAAUUAGCCAGCUGAGGUGACAUGUGCCUAUAGUCCCAGCUACUCAG